AAGAUUAUGGAAAAAAUUUUCCCUCGAUUCGGACUGCCCAAGGUAAUCGGGUCUGAUAACGGACCGGCUUUUGUUGCCCAGGUAAGUCAGGGAUUGGCCAGGAUACUGGGGAUUAAUUGGAAAUUACAUUGUGCCUACCAUCCCCAAAGUUCAGGACAGGUAGAAAGAAUGAAUAGAACCCUAAAAGAGACCAUGACUAAAUUAUCCAUAGAGACUGGCUUAACAGACUGGACAGUCCUCCUCCCCUAUGCCCUUUUUAGAGUAAGGAAUACUCCGAAU